rnacentral:rRNA from 1 species
AGCGAACGCUGGCGGCAGGCCUAACACAUGCAAGUCGAACGAUCCUUUCGGGGUUAGUGGUGGACGGGGGAGUAAGACGUGGGAACGUGCCUUUAGGUUCGGAGUAACUCAGGGAAACUUGUCCUAAUACCAAAUGUGCCCUUCGGGGGUAAGAGUAAUCGCCUUUAGAGCGGCCCGCGACUGAUUGGCUAGUUGGUCGAGGUAAUGGUUCACCAAGGGGAAGACCAGUAGCUGGGCUGAGAGGAUGGUCAGCAACACUGGGAGUGGGAAACGGCCCAAAAUCCUAGGGGAGGCAGGAGUGGGGAAUCUUGCGCAAUGGGCGAAAGCCUGACGCAGCCAGGCCGGGAGAAUGAUUAAGGUCUGAGGAUUGUAAAAUUCUUUCACCGGGGACGAUAAUGACGGUACCCUAAGAAGAAGCCCCGGCUAACUUCGUG